AGGUUAAUCACAGAGGUCUGGUAAGUUUCCAGAGGGAAGGUCUCUGAAGUGGAGCUGGGUACUGCCCCAGGGUUUUGGUGGGGUUGGUGAGCCGUAGUGGUGCAGAGGGUGGGCUCUGGCACCAGGUGGCCUGGGCAGGUCUUGGCUCUACAGCUCACCCGGGCAGCUGUGGGCUGGCAGCCUCCUCUGUCUCACUCUUCUUAAAUGUAACAUGGGAGUCAUAACAGUAGCCACCUCAUGAGGUUGUUAUAAGGAUGAAGGGAGUUAGUCCAUAUCUGGCGCACCCAGCAGUGCCUGGCGCCUGGGCAGUGCUCAGCCGCUGCAGCCGUUCUUGGUGGGAGUGGACUUGACUGCUCACAGCUGGAGCAUGUUGGAGUGUGCGCGUUCCCUGUUGUGGCUGUGACAAAUGACCACAAGCAUAGUGGCUGACAACAGAUUUUCUGACCUCCAGAAACGACAAUCUGGGGGUCAGAUGUCCAAAAUCAGACUCAUCGGCUUAAAAUCAAGGUGUGGGUGGGGUUGCUUCUUCUGGAGGGCCCAGGGGAAAACCCAUCUCCUGGUCUUUUCCGGCUCCUAGAGGCUAUUGCUUGACUUGUCACCCUUUCCUCUGUCUAUGAAGCCAGCAGUGUUGCAUCUUCAAAUCUCUCCCCUCGGUGGCCUUCUCUGACUCUGACCCUCCUAUGCCCCUCUUAUAAGACCCUUGGGUUGUCACCUGGGUCAUCCCGGGUCACCUCCCCAUCCCAGGAUCCUUAACUUCAUCUCAGCUGCAGCGUCCCUGUUGUCCUGUAAGGGAACAUUCACAGGCCUUGGCAAUUGGAUGUAGGUGCCUUUGGGGCUGUGAUUCAGCCAACCCCGCCCCUUGGUGACUUCUGGGUCAGAACCCAGGGGAUAGUUGGGUCCUGAGGUUUGGGGCCUGUCCUCCUCACUUGCCGUGGUUCACACCUAGACUCUGGGGCUCAGGCCUGCCUUCCCCCUUUCUCCCUCCUGGGCGCAGGGCUGCGCUGGCAGGGCUGUCACUCAGCCUGAUGGAACGCCUGGCCGAGGAGUACGGCGCGAGGGUGGUGCGGACACUGACGGUGCAGUACCGCAUGCACCAGGCUAUCAUGCGCUGGGCCUCGGACACCAUGUACCUCGGGCAGCUCACGGCCCACCCUUCCGUGGCGGGGCACCUCCUGAGGGACCUCCCAGGUGUGGCUGCCACAGAAGAGACGGGUGUGCCUCUGCUCCUGGUGGACACCGCUGGCUGCGGGCUGUUUGAGCUGGAGGAGGAGGACGAACAGUCGAAAGGGAACCCUGGCGAAGUCCGCCUCGUCAGUUUGCACAUCCAGGCUCUGGUAGACGCUGGUGUUCCAGCCCGUGACAUGGCCGUGGUCUCACCAUACAACCUCCAGGUGGACCUGCUCAGACAGAGCCUCGUGCACAGGCACCCCGAGCUUGAAAUCAAGUCCGUCGAUGGCUUCCAAGGCCGAGAGAAGGAGGCCGUGAUACUGUCCUUCGUCAGGUCCAACAGGAAAGGUGAAGUUGGUUUUCUUGCUGAGGACCGGAGGAUCAACGUGGCUGUCACCCGCGCCCGGCGCCACGUGGCGGUCAUCUGUGACUCCCGUACUGUCAACAACCAUGCAUUUUUGAAGACCCUGGUGGAGUAUUUCACACAGCAUGGGGAAGUACGCACGGCCUUUGAAUAUCUUGACGAUAUUGUCCCAGAAAACUAUUCCCAUGAGAGCUCCCAGGGUUUCAGCCACGCUGCCACCAAGCCCCAGGGCCCUGCUAUGUCCACCAGGACCGGAAGCCAGCGGCAGGAGGGAGGCCAGGAGGCCGCAGCACCUGCCAGACAGGGCCGGAAGAAGCCGGCCGGGAAGUCUCUGGCCUCUGAAGCCCCAUCUCAGCCCAGCCUCAACAGAGGCAGCCCGGAGGGAGUGGAGAGCCAAGACGGCGUGGACCACUUCCGUGCCAUGAUAGUGGAGUUCAUGGCCAGCAAGAAGAUGCAGUUGGAGUUUCCUCCUUCCCUCAAUUCCCACGACAGGCUGCGGGUCCACCAAAUAGCCGAGGAGCACGGGCUGAGGCACGACAGUUCCGGGGAAGGGAAGAGGAGGUUCAUCACCGUGAGCAAGAGGGCCCCGCCGGCCCCGCAACCCCCAGCAGCCCCGGGACCCCCAGCAGGGACCGGUGGCCCAGCCCCUCUCCCGCCAGUGCCCCCUAACCCUGCGCAGACGGAGCAGCCUCCCAGGGAGCAGCGUGGCCCGGAGCGGCCUGAUCUGAGGACGCUGCACCUGGAGAGACUGCAGAGGGUCAGGAGCGCGCAGGGGCAGCCCGCCAGCAAGGAGCAGCAGGCCUCAGGGCAGCAGAAACUUCCAG
rnacentral:sRNA from 1 species